rnacentral:lncRNA from 1 species
GUCUGUCUAAAUCAAUGGGAUUUUUUCGGUGGGCUUUUUGAUGAAGAAAUUCUUGCGGCUUGCCAUGAGUGUUCAUGCACCGGACAUCUAUUUAUUGACUCUUUUGGGCUCCAAACUCUUGUUAAUCCCAUUGCACAAUAAAGUUAUCACAUAAUAUUAUUGUUGUGUUUUAGACCCAAACUAUCGAGACUAAACCCACCCCAAGAACACUUAACUCACUGAACUUGACCCAAGAACCUACCAAGAUUUAAUCAAUACACUAAGGAUCAAGAAUAAGAAACAGAUCAAGAACAAAACACACACGAAUUAAAGUGGUUCAUCACCAAAUUAAUGAUGCCUACAUCCACUGGAAACAAACACCGUGAUUUCACUUUAUUGCUUUCAAGAGUUACAGAGAGCAUUAACACAAAUGGAGAUUACAACCCUAUUCAGAACUCUCUCUCUCACAUUCCCUUAUCAAUGUCCUCUCUCACUUUCAGUCUGAUGCAAAACCCAGGACUCCAGCCCUUUUAUCAGCUGAUUCUGGAUCUCACUUCCUCAGCGGCUUUUCNNNNNNNNNNNNNNNNNNNNNNNNNNNNNNNNNNNNNNNNNNNNNNNNNNNNNNNNNNNNNNNNNNNNNNNNNNNNNNNNNNNNNNNNNNNNNNNNNNNNCCCACGUGCUUGCAGUGUGUCUCUUAAUAAGCAGGCUUGAAACGGCUUCUUACUUAGUCGUUUUGGGAGACUAAGUAUUUCCUUCAGCUCACGUGCCAGACAUAUGAGCUACUUAUAAUACAGAAUGACAUUUUGGCUCAUGUCGGUUUCGUUCCAAAUUCUUAUUAGAUGACAUGUCGUGCUAACACAGAAUCAACAUAUAACAUGUCGGGACUGAGUAUUCAGUUUACAUUUCACAAUCUCCACCUUGAACUCAAUACUUCAAGUUACUCCACAGUGCUUUCUUCCUCACAAUUUGCAACGUCAGUUCCUGCAAAUCCCUGCUAAGUUCAUGCAUAGAUUGAACUUAGCAUAGGGUACUGACUUGGUUAGUAUGUCAGCUGGAUUCUCCUCUGUAUUUAUCUUUAGAAGUUUUACAGCACCUCUGGAAACUUCAAGCCUCACAAAAUGGAGUUUCACAUCAAUAUGUUUAGUCUUCUCAUGAUGUGUCUGGCUUUUGCUGAGGUGAAUUGCACUCUGACUAUCACAAUAAACCUCAACUGAGUCUUGUUCAUCUCCAAGUUCAGUAGCCAUUCCUUUCAGCCAAAUGGCUUCCUUGAGAGCUUCUGCAGCUGCUGUAUAUUCAGCUUCUGUAGUAGACAAAGCCACUAUAUUCUGUAAUGUAGCUUUCCAGUUGACUGUACAUCCCCCCAAAGUAAACAAAUAUCCUGUCAGUGAUCUUCUCUUAUUGAGAUCCCUAACAAAGUCUGAGUCUACAUAGCCUACCUGGAUAUUUCCUUCAUCUCUAGAUCCACCAUAUAACAAACCAUACUCUGCAGUGCCCCUAAGGUACCUCAUUAUCCAUUUUACUGCCCUCCAGUGGUCAAUCCCUGGGUUUGACAUAAACCUACUCACCACACUUAGGGCAUGUGAAAUGUCUGGUCUGGUUAGCAUCAUUGCGUACAUGAGGUUCCCUACAGCAUUGGAGUAAGGGACUUUUAACAUUUCUUGCUGUUCUACAGCUGUUUGGGGACACAUAGCUGCUGAUAGCUUAAAAUGACUUGCCAAUGGUGUUUGGACAGGUUUGGUUUCAUUCAUACCAAACCUAAUCAGCACUUUCUCAAUGUAAUCCUUUUGAGUCAGAAACAUUGUUCCAACCUUCCUGUUUCUGAUGAUUUCUACCCCAAGAAUCUUCUUUGCAGGUCCAAUGUCCUUCAUUUCAAAUUCACUGCUCAAUAACCCUUUUAACUUAUCAAUCUCUGCUUUUUCAUGACAGGCAAUCAACAUAUCAUCAACAUACAGCAGUAAGUAGAUCCUCCUAGUUUCACUUAUCUCCCUGUAGUACACACAGCAAUCAUAACUGCAUUUGUUGUAGGCAUGCUUCACCAUGAAACUGUCAAACCUUAGGUACCAUUGCCUAGGUGACUGUUUUAAGCCAUAAAAAGACUUCUUAAGCAGACAAACAUGAUCCGUUUUGCCAGGUACUUCAUACCCUUCAGGCCGCUCUAUUACAAUCCCCUCUUGUAAUUCUCCAUGUAGAAAAGCUGUUUUAACAUCCAUCUGUUCAAGAUGCAUGUCUUGCAUAGCCACAAGUGUAAGGAUGACUCUUAUGGAUGCAUGCCUCACCACUGGGGAGAAUACUUCAGUGAAGUCAAUACCCUCCCUUUGUGUGAAGCCUCUUGCCACUAACCUAGCCUUGAACCUCCUAGGUUCUGCUCCAGGUAUCCCUUCCUUGAUUUUAUAUAUCCAUUUGCAGCUUACAAUCUUCUUCUUUUCUGGCUUCUUAAUUAACUUCCAUGUUUCAUUCUUCAUGAGGGAUUCAACUUCCUCAUCCAUUGCUCUUUUCCAUUCCAGCCUAUUCUUGCUUGUGAUUGCUUCUUGACAAGUCUUUGGUUCAUCAUCAUUGAUCUCAUGAGCAGUUGAUAAAGCAUAAGCAAUUAAAUCUGCCACUGCAUGCCUCUUUGGUGGUCUUAUUGUUCUCAUUUUUCUGUCCCUUGCUAGUUGGUAAGUGCUACUACCACUCCUAAUUGAUUCUGACUCUUCUUUAACUUCAGAUCCAUCAUCAACCUCUCCUGAUUCUUUUGUUGUGAAUGUUUCAGUCUUCUCACCUUCAACAGGCUUCACCUCAAACUGAAUUAUCUCAUCUUCAGCUUCUGGCUUCUUUUCUUUAAUCUCAGAACUCCUUCUUUUAUUCAACAUUUCUGCUUCACUGAAGGUUACAUCCCUGCUAAUUAUGCACUUUGGUGGUUUGAAAUCAGUACACCAUUGUUGAGUGUUAGAAAAUGCAUAUUUAUAAAGGAGAAAACCGUCAUUUUACAUUUCAAGUCUUACUAACAACCCUUACUUUUAUGUGUUUAACAUUCUUGUGAUUUAAUUACGUGUGUUUUAUUUUAAUUAAGUAAUUUAUGUAUUUUAGGGGCAUUAUAGUCAUUUCACAAUAAAGGAGAGAUCAGACGGCAAAACGGACAUCACUUUUGAACUCAGGACGGUCGAAAACCUUAGGAGGAGCAUAAAAGGAAAAAUGGCACUAUUCACAUGUACGGUACUAUUCACGUAUACGGUACUGUAUACGUUACUGUUCAUAGCACUGUUCACAUAGACGGAUCGAUGAAGUGGCAUUGAUCGAUGAUGUGGCAUUGACUGAUGAGGUGUCACGAUCCUGUUGGACUAAAAUUCUUAUGUACUGUUGAUGGUGACGUGGCAGCAUAUCAGUGGACGAAAAAUCUCGCGUACGGUGCAUGCAUCACACAUGAUUAUUUUCAACCAAACCGCAUUACUGUUCAUCCGGGUCAAACCGUGUUACUGUUCAUCCGCGUGCUCAAACCGUGGACUGUUGACUGAUGACGUGGCGCAAUCCUGAGCGUCCAAACUGUUUUUAAUCCGAUGGCCAUAAUUUACUCCAUGUAUCUAUAAAAAGGGGGCCUCCCCCCCUAAUUUGAUAUCUCUGAAUCUAUUUUUGGGAUCCAUUUUCUGUAAUUCAUUCUCCAUCUUGUAUUUUCUUCGUAUUUUAAUAAAUUCCCAUUUUGCCCCUAGUUCAAUUAUGAGUGGCUAAUUUUCUUUCAAGCUUGGGUUGAAGGUGAAGUCUCAACAUGUGUCAUGGGCUUAAUUUCGUAAAUUUAUUUUCUCUUCCCCUCUAGUUUUUGUGGAUGUUUUGACUUCUCAUCGACAAAUAAUACUAAUCUUGUCUAGUACCGCCUUGGUUUCACCGACCCUCUAGUACAAGGUUAUUAUUAUUUGGCACGAUAAGCCCUUAGCACCAUAUUGAUUAGAGCGUGGUUCAUGAGGUGUGGAUUCCCCCCUCAUGAUUUAAUUGGCAUUAAUACGGAUUAUUUAGCCCAUGAUGCAUGUUUAUACGGAUCCAGAUACCCAAGUACGUCAUUUCAAUAGAAUUCUCUUCAAUUUAUUCUCGCCAUUUCAAUUCCAAUUUCAGAAUUUAUUCUCGCCAUUUUAAUUUAAGUUUUAGCAUAUUCCAAAUCAUUUCCACCACAAAUCCAAUCACCCAUUCAAAAAAUUAAUUUUAUACACAAUUAAAAUCCACCUCCUCGUGGGAUCGACACUCGUCACCAUUAGUCUAUACUACAAUAGAUUCGUGCGCUUGCGAGUACAUUAAAAUUUGCACAACAACCAUAACUUGUAGCCUUUGACCCCCUCAAGAUAGCCCAGAAAUCUGCACUUCAAAGCUUUUGCUUCCAACUUCCCCUGCUUCACAUGUGCAUAUGCUUCACAACCGAAAAUCCUGAACUUAGAGUAAUCAGCUACCCUUUCUAACCACAAUUCCAUUGGCGUCUUACAUCCUAUAGCUGUUAAUGGACUUCUAUUCACCAAAUAGCAGGCUGUGUUUAAGGCCUCUGCCCAAAGAGCUUUUGGUAACUUUGAGUGGAUCAGCAGACAUCUCACUUUCUCUAUUAAUGUUCUAUUCAUUCUUUCAGCAAAACCAUUUUGUUGAGGAGUGUAUGUUACUGUUUUAUGCCUCAAAACACCAUUCUUUUCACAUUAAUCCUCAAACAACUUGUUACAGUAUUCCAGUCCAUUAUCUGUUCUUAAUACUUUCACCUUCAAAUUAGUUUGGUUUUCAACCAAAACUUUCCAUCUUUUGAACCUUUCAAGGACUUUAUCUUUAGAUUUUAGAGCAUAAACCCACACAAUUCUAGAAAAAUCAUCUAUAAAGGUCAAAAAAAAUUUGCAACCACCUAGAGAGGUUACCUGUGCAGGUCCCCACAGGUCAGAGUGUAUAUAACCUAGCUUUUCUUUGGUAGUGUGAACUGUAGAUUCAAACUUUAUCUUGGAAGCCUUCCUUAGUAUAGUAUACAGUCUUUACAGAAUCCCAAAGAGUUUAGCUGAUCUUUCCCAAACACCUCUUUCUUUUCCAGUUCCUUCAACCCCUUCUCACUUAUAUGUCCUAACCUCAAGUGCCAGAGCUUAGAUUUAUCCUCGCUACUCUCAAUUAUACUUGCCUCCCCAAUGACUGUUUGUCAAUUCAUAACAUACAGGCCAUUGUUUUUGUUACCAUUUAUUAUGACCAUUGAGCCCUUUAUCACUCUCAACACACCUUUCUCAGCCUUCACAAUACAUCUCAUCUGAUCUAACAUCCCCACAGAAAUUAAAUUUCUUUUAAGGUCAGGGACAUUUCUGACUUGUGUGAUUUCCCUCACCACACCAUCAAACAUUUUCAGGCUAACAGUUCCUAUACCAACUACUUUACAUAUGGAAUUAUUCCCCAUUAAUACCAUACCACCAUCACAUGACUGAUAUGAUGUAAAAUAGUUUCUAUUUAGACACAUAUGAAAGGUGCAUCCUGAGUCAAGAACGCAUUCACCUUGAAUCUUUUCUUUGGAAGCUAUGAGUACUUCAGUUGUUUCAUAAUUGGAUUCAUCUGUGGCUAUUGCUGCAUUCCCUACUUUAUCCUUUGAAUAUUUGAUCUUGGACUUCCUCUCAGGGCAAUCACUCUUGAAAUGCCCUUCCUUGUGACAAUGGAAGCAUUUAAGCUGCUUCUGUUUUGACUUAGAUCUUCCUUAUUUCUUUCCUUUGCCUUCCCUCUUCUCAGGUCUACCUCUGGCCAUUAAACCCUCACCAGAUUCACUGUCAGCCUUCUCUUGCUUGUCUUUCAGUUUCUUUGUGCCAAGAGCUAAUUUAACCUCUUCCAAAGAAAGUGUAUGUCUUCCACAUAGUGGAGCAUCAACAAAAUGCUCAUAUAAUUUAGGUAAUGAGCUGAUUAAUAGGAGUGCUUUACUCUCAUCACUCAAACCUUCAUCAAUAGUCUCCAGAGCAUCACAAACCUUGUUGAACUCAUCAAUAUGCUAAUCAAGUGAUGACCCUUCAACCAUCCUUAAUGAGAACAUUUUCUUUUUGAUGUACAACCUAUUUGCAAGAGAUUUUGUCAUAUACAAAUUCUCUAAUUUUGUCCAUAGCCCUGCAACAGUUCUUUCUUUCGCAACCUCCCUUAUCACAGAGUCCCCUAGACUGAGAAUGAUAGUACUCCUAGCAUUCUUAUCAAUCUCAGCAGCUUGUUCAGGAGUUGUAAAAGAAGAGCCCUUCAUUCCCUCUUUCUUAGAGGCUGGUUCAAUGGCAUCUCCCAAACCUUGAGUGAUCAGCAAAGCCUCAAUCUUGAUCUUCCACAUAUUGAAAUCAUUCUACCCAGUAAACUUUUCCAUAUCGAUCUUGGUACCCAUUUCUUGAAUCUAAAGCCAGAGAACAAUAGCUCUGAUACCAAUUUGUUGUAUUUUAGACCAAAACUAUCGAGACUAAACCCACCCCAAGAACACUCAACUCACUGAACUUGACCCAAGAACCUACCAAGAUUCAAUCAAUACACUAAGGAUCAAGAAUAAGAAACAGAUCAAGAACAAAACACACAUGAAUUAAAGUGGUUCAACACCAAAUUAAUGAUGCCUACAUCCACUGGAAACAAACACCGUGAUUUCACUUUAUUGCUUUCAAGAGUUACAGAGAGCAUUAACACAAAUGGAGAUUACAAGCCUAUUCAAAACUCUCUCACUCGCAUUCCCUUAUCAAUGUCCUCUCUCGCUUUCAGUCUGAUGCAAAACCCAGAACUCCAGCCCUUUUAUCAACUGAUUUUGGAUCUCACUUCCUCAGCGGCUUUUCCCGCUAAUGUAACAGAAUUAUCCAACUCAGCCACGUGCUUGCAGCGUGUCUCUAAUAAGCAGGCUUGAAACAGCUUCUUACUUAGUCGUUUUGGGAGACUAAGUAUUUCCUUCAGCUCACGUGCCAGACAUGUGAGCUACUUAUAACACAGAACGACAUUUUGGCUCAUGUCGGUUUCGUUCCAAACUCUUAUCAGACGACAUGUCGUGCUAACACAGAAUCAACAUAUAACAUGUCGGGACUGAGUAUUCAGUUCACAUUUCACAAUUAUGCAUCAUCAAUUACAUUUAACUUAAUAUUAUGCCUCAUCAAUUACCUAAUAAAAAAUGCUCUUGACUUAUUCCACUGCCAAGAAGAUAUAAAAAAUUGUUUUGCACCGUAUCUUCAAAUUCAAAGUAUAUAUUAUUGCUGGAGUUGGUAAAUCUUUAAAUGAGUAAAAUUAUUAAAACAAUAACAGUGAUGAUGAUAAAGAAGAAUGGUAAGCACGAGCCGCUGAAUUCGAGCCAUUUGGAGGGAAAAAUUUUCAGAUAAAGAAGAAUGGUCGACUGGAGUUGGUAAUUCUAAUCGUGUUUCUUUUUCCAAUUGAUUUUUCAACAAUUUUCGGCAUCGUUUUUCAAAAUUAAAAAAAAAAAAAGGAAAAAUCGUGAUUCUCAUGCUUAAGGUUUUGUCUUCCGUUUUAUAAUUUUUUUAGUGUGUCUAAAUCAAUGGGAUUUUUUCGGUGGACUUUUUGAUUAAGAAAUUCUUGCGGCUUGCCACGGGUGUUCAUGCACCGUACAUCUAUUUAUUGACUCUUUUGGGCUCCAAACUCUUGUCAAUCCCAUCGCACAAUAGAGUUAUCGCUUACUGGGGGAAAGAAAAUC